GCGCAUGCCUGAAUACUUGCUUUCUAAGCUACGCGCUGAGAACUCCCGUUUCUCCCUCUAUGCUUAGGGGAAAGCCCGGUACUGAACAGAGAUGUUCUGCUGAACCGCAGCUCAUGAGCUUGUUACGAUACAACUUCCUGCUAAGACGUCACUUCCGGCUGAGCAGAGUAUCACAAGCCAUGUUGGUCAUUACAAGAGAUAUGCAGGUACUGUGGCACUGCAACAGAACGGGGCUCAUUCUCAGGAUGCG
ensembl:ribozyme RNase_MRP RNase MRP